rnacentral:sRNA from 1 species
UCCUAGCCCUGCUAUCCGCUUGUAUCUUUUUAUUUUUCCUUUAAAAAUAAAAAGAUACAAGCGGAUAGCAGGAAACAGC